rnacentral:rRNA from 1 species
GUCGAACGCUUUGUCUUUAAUUGAUCUGACGAGCUUGCUCUGAAGUGAUUUUAUCUGACAAAGGGUGGCGAACGGGUGAGUAACACGUGGGUAACCUACCUCUUAGCAGGGGAUAACAUUUGGAAACAAGUGCUAAUACCGUAUAAUACCAACAACCGCAUGGUUGUUGGUUGAAAGAUGGUUCUGCUAUCACUAAGAGAUGGACCCGCGGUGCAUUAGCUAGUUGGUAAGGUAACGGCUUACCAAGGCAAUGAUGCAUAGCCGAGUUGAGAGACUGAUCGGCCACAAUGGGACUGAGACACGGCCCAUACUCCUACGGGAGGCAGCAGUAGGGAAUCUUCCACAAUGGGCGCAAGCCUGAUGGAGCAACGCCGCGUGUGUGAUGAAGGGUUUCGGCUCGUAAAACACUGUUAUAAGAGAAGAACGGCACUGAGAGUAACUGUUCAGUGUGUGACGGUAUCUUACCAGAAAGGAACGGCUAAAUACGUGCCAGCAGCCGCGGUAAUACGUAUGUUCCAAGCGUUAUCCGGAUUUAUUGGGCGUAAAGCGAGCGCAGACGGUUAUUUAAGUCUGAAGUGAAAGCCCUCAGCUCAACUGAGGAAUGGCUUUGGAAACUGGAUGACUUGAGUGCAGUAGAGGAAAGUGGAACUCCAUGUGUAGCGGUGAAAUGCGUAGAUAUAUGGAAGAACACCAGUGGCGAAGGCGGCUUUCUGGACUGUAACUGACGUUGAGGCUCGAAAGUGUGGGUAGCAAACAGGAUUAGAUACCCUGGUAGUCCACACCGUAAACGAUGAGUGCUAGAUGUUCGAGGGUUUCCGCCCUUGAGUGUCGCAGCUAACGCAUUAAGCACUCCGCCUGGGGAGUACGACCGCAAGGUUG